AGUGAACGCUGGCGGUAGGCCUAACACAUGCAAGUCGAACGGCAGAACAGUAAGAGCUUGCUCUUACGGGGGCCGACGGGCGGACGAGUGCGGGAUAUCUCCCUAUUUACUUUUUAGAGGGGGCGAACACAGGGACAAAUACGCUAAUAGCGCAUACGACGUACGUGUGAGAGCAUCGGAUCUUAGGCCAUUGCGUGAUCGGAGGUCGGAUUAGCUAGUUGGCGGGGUAAAGGCCUACCAAGGCGACGAUCCGUAACUGGUCUGAGAGGAUGAUCAGCCACACUGGAACUGAGACACGGUCCAGACUCCUACGGGAGGCAGCAGUGGGGAAUAUUGGACAAUGGGCGCAAGCCUGAUCCAGCCAUACCGCGUGUGUGAAGAAGGCCUUCGGAUUGUAAAGCCCUUUUGUUUGGAAAGAAGAGCAGCAAGUUAAUACCCCGCUGUUUUGACGGUACCCACAGAAUAAGCACCGGCUAACUUCGUG
rnacentral:rRNA from 1 species